rnacentral:rRNA from 1 species
CAGCAGCCGCGGUAAUACGAAGGGGGCUAGCGUUGCUCGGAAUGACUGGGCGUAAAGGGCGCGUAGGCGGCAUGUACAGUCAGACGUGAAAUUCCUGGGCUUAACCUGGGGGCUGCGUUUGAUACGUGCAGGCUAGAGAGGGGAAGAGGGUUGUGGAAUUCCCAGUGUAGAGGUGAAAUUCGUAGAUAUUGGGAAGAACACCGGUGACGAAGGCGGCAACCUGGUCCUUGACUGACGCUGAGGCGCGAAAGCGUGGGGAGCAAACAGGAUUAGAUACCCGAGUAGUCCCUGUCUCUUAUAC